rnacentral:rRNA from 1 species
GAUGAACGCUGGCGGCGUGCUUAACACAUGCAAGUCGAACGGAAAGGCCCAAGCUUGCUUGGGUACUCGAGUGGCGAACGGGUGAGUAACACGUGGGUGAUCUGCCCUGCACUUCGGGAUAAGCCUGGGAAACUGGGUCUAAUACCGGAUAGGACCACAUUUUGGAUGGUGUGGUGGAAAGUUUUUCGGUGUGGGAUGAGCUCGCGGCCUAUCAGCUUGUUGGUGGGGUAAUGGCCUACCAAGGCGUCGACGGGUAGCCGGCCUGAGAGGGUGUACGGCCACAUUGGGACUGAGAUACGGGCCAGACUCCUACGGGAGGGAGCAGUGGGGAAUAUUGCACAAUGGGCGCAAGCCUGAUGCAGCGACGCCGCGUGGGGGAUGACGGCCUUCGGGUUGUAAACUCCUUUCGCUAGGGACGAAGCGUUUUUGUGACGGUACCUGGAGAAGAAGCACCGGCUAACUACGUG